CCUACGGGGGGCUGCAGUGGGGAAUAUUGCGCAAUGGGCGAAAGCCUGAUGCAGCGACGCCGCGUGAGGGAUGAAGGUCUUCGGAACGUAAACCUCUGUCAGCAGGGAAGAAAGGUCACUGUGCUAAUCAGCAGUGAAUUGACGGUACCUGCAAAGGAAGCACCGGCUAACUCCGUGCCAGCAGCCGCGGUAAUACGGAGGGUGCGAGCGUUAAUCGGAAUUACUGGGCGUAAAGCGCUCGUAGGCGGUAUGUCAAGUCAAGGGUGAAAGCCCCGCGCUCAACGUGGGAACUGCCUUUGAAACUGGCAAACUGGAGUGUGUGAGAGGAUAGUGGAAUUCCAGGUGUAGGAGUGAAAUCCGUAGAUAUCUGGAGGAACAUCAGUGGCGAAGGCGACUAUCUGGCACAUAACUGACGCUGAGGAGCGAAAGCGUGGGUAGCAAACAGGAUUAGAUACCCGAGUAGUC
rnacentral:rRNA from 1 species